UACGUAGGGACCAAGCGUUGUUCGGAUUUACUGGGCGUAAAGGGCGCGUAGGCGGCCUGACAAGUCACUUGUGAAAUCUCUGGGCUUAACUCAGAACGGCCAAGUGAUACUGUCGCGCUAGAGUGCAGAAAGGGCAAUCGGAAUUCUUGGUGUAGCGGUGAAAUGCGUAGAUAUCAAGAGGAACACCUGAGGCGAAGGCGGGUUGCUAGGCUGACACUGACGCUGAUGCGCGAAAGCCAGGGGAGCAAACGGG
rnacentral:rRNA from 1 species